rnacentral:lncRNA from 1 species
CCUCCUCCACCUCCAAUUGCAGAGCCCAAUUCUUCACGUCCUAUAGUCACUACGGACGUACAAAUUGCUGCUUUAAUGCAGCAAAUGAAAGUAUUGACGGAGGUGAUACACAACCUCCAACAACAACAAAUGCAGCAACAGCAGCAACCACUGGCAGAGAAAUUGAUGAUGCAUUCAGUGCCAUCCAGGCACAACCAACGUUCUCCACGACGAUCUCUUUCUCC